GAUGAACGCUGGCGGCGUGCCUAAUACAUGCAAGUCGAGCGAACAGAUGAGGAGCUUGCUCCUCUGACGUUAGCGGCGGACGGGUGAGUAACACGUGGAUAACCUACCUAUAAGACUGGGAUAACUUCGGGAAACCGGAGCUAAUACCGGAUAAUAUAUUGAACCGCAUGGUUCAAUAGUGAAAGACGGUUUUGCUGUCACUUAUAGAUGGAUCCGCGCCGCAUUAGCUAGUUGGUAAGGUAACGGCUUACCAAGGCAACGAUGCGUAGCCGACCUGAGAGGGUGAUCGGCCACACUGGAACUGAGACACGGUCCAGACUCCUACUGGGGGCAGCAGUAGUGAAUCUUCCGCAAUGGGCGAAAGCCUGACGGAGCAACGCCGCGUGAGUGAUGAAGGUCUUCGGAUCGUAAAACUCUGUUAUUAUGGAAGAACAAAUGUGUAAGUAACUAUGCACGUCUUGACGGUACCUAAUCAGAAAGCCACGUCUAACUACG
rnacentral:rRNA from 1 species